rnacentral:rRNA from 1 species
CAAUCUGCCCUUGACUGUGGGAUAAGCGUUGGAAACGACGUCUAAUACCGGAUACGACCUUUGGAGGCAUCUCUGGGGGUGGAAAGAAUUUUGGUCAAGGAUGAGCUCGCGGCCUAUCAGCUAGUUGGUGAGGUAAUGGCUCACCAAGGCGACGACGGGUAGCCGGCCUGAGAGGGUGACCGGCCACACUGGGACUGAGACACGGCCCAGACUCCUACGGGAGGCAGCAGUGGGGAAUAUUGCACAAUGGGCGAAAGCCUGAUGCAGCAACGCCGCGUGAGGGACGACGGCCUUCGGGUUGUAAACCUCUUUUAGUAGGGAAGAAGCGAUGUGCUUGCCACAAAGUGACGGUACCUGCAGAAAAAGCACCGGCUAACUACGUGCCAGCAGCCGCGGUAAUACGUAGGGUGCAAGCGUUGUCCGGAAUUAUUGGGCGUAAAGAGCUCGUAGGCGGUUUGUCGCGUCUGCUGUGAAAACCCGAGGCUCAACCUCGGGCCUGCAGUGGGUACGGGCAGACUAGAGUGCGGUAGGGGAGAUUGGAAUUCCUGGUGUAGCGGUGGAAUGCGCAGAUAUCAGGAGGAACACCAAUGGCGAAGGCAGAUCUCUGGGCCGUAACUGACGCUGAGGAGCGAAAGCAUGGGGAGCGAACAGGAUUAGAUACCCUGGUAGUCCAUGCCGUAAACGUUGGGAACUAGAUGUGGGGACCAUUCCACGGUCUCCGUGUCGCAGCUAACGCAUUAAGUUCCCCGCCUGGGGAGUACGGCCGCAAGGCUAAACUCAAAGGAAUUGACGGGGGCCCGCACAAGCGGCGGAGCAUGCGGAUUAAUUCAUGCAACGCGAAGAACCUUACCAAGGCUUGACAUAUAGAAGAAACGUCUGGAAACAG